rnacentral:tRNA from 1 species
UUGGUUGCUCAGUGGUUAGAGCAUUGGCCUACAGUCCCAAGGGUCUUGGGUUCAAUUCCCAAUCAA